CAAUGUGAUUUCUGCCCAGUG
rnacentral:ncRNA from 2 species